GGCAGCAGUGGGGAAUAUUGGACAAUGGGCGAAAGCCUGAUCCAGCAAUACCGCGUGUGUGAAGAAGGCCUUAGGGUUGUAAAGCACUUUCAAUUGGGAGGAAAACCUGCCGGUCAAUACCCGGUAGCUUGACAUUACCUUUAGAAGAAGCACCGGCUAACUCCGUGCCAGCAGCCGCGGUAAUACGGAGGGUGCGAGCGUUAAUCGGAAUUACUGGGCGUAAAGCGUGCGUAGGCGGUUCGUUAAGUCAGAUGUGAAAGCCCUGGGCUCAACCUGGGAACUGCAUUUGAAACUGGCGGACUAGAGUUUAGUAGAGGGGAGUGGAAUUUCAGGUGUAGCGGUGAAAUGCGUAGAUAUCUGAAGGAACACCAGUGGCGAAGGCGACUCCCUGGACUAGAACUGACGCUGAGGUACGAAAGCGUGGGUAGCAAACAGGAU
rnacentral:rRNA from 1 species